rfam:Clostridium sp. CAG:230 genomic scaffold, scf243
GCGGAAGUGCUGGAAUUGGCAGACAGGCAUGAUUCAGGUUCAUGUUCGGGAUUCCGAGUGUGGGUUCAAGUCCCAUCUUCCGCA